GACGAACGCUGGCGGCGUGCUUAACACAUGCAAGUCGAACGAUGAAGCGGGUGCUUGCACUCGUGGAUUAGUGGCGAACGGGCGAGUAACACGUGAGUAACCUGUCCUUUUCUUUGGGAUAACGGCUGGAAACGGCUGCUAAUACUGGAUAUUCAGGCUGCAUCGCAUGGUGUGGUUUGGAAAGGUUUUUUCUGGGAUUGGGUGGGCUCGCGGCCUAUCAGCUUGUUGGUGGGGUGAUGGCUUACCAAGGCUUUGACGGGUAGCCGGCCUGAGAGGGUGGUCGGUCGCACUGGGACUGAGAUACGGCCCAGACUCCUACGGGAGGCAGCAGUGGGGAAUAUUGCACAAUGGACGAAAGUUUGAUGCAGCGACGCCGCGUGGAGGGUGUAGGCCUUCGGGUUGUGAACUCCUUUUUCUCGCGAAAAAGGCACAGUUUUGGCUGUGUCGAUGGUAGUGGGGGAAGAAGCGCCGGCUAACUACGUG
rnacentral:rRNA from 1 species